AUGCUUUGUGCCCCAAACUGCCUGGCUUCAGAGCAGUUUUUCUCACAUCCUUGGAAUUUGUCCCCCCUUUCCCUUCUGGAGGUGCCCAGCAGCAGGCGGGAUGGGGGCGAUGCAGCAGCUCCCUGGCCCCCCUCCUCUGUCUCUCCCUGCAGGAUGCGGGAGCCGCCACCCGCUGUCCCUUUGGUCAGGCAGCCGCCACCAUCCCGGUCACCCGCUCGAUCCAGCUCCCCUGGGCACAGAGCGAGGGGCCGGGCACCCACCCCGCCCCGGCUGAGCUUCCCGAACGGCGCGGGGGUCCCCAGGGCACCACAAGGGACCAGCCCAGGGAAAACCCCCCCUGUGGCACCGGCACGGGGCAGGUCCGCAGCACCCAGCCCGCGGACAGUGCCAGCACCGCCAAGAAGCACCCAGCAAGGAGGAAAAUCAUCUGUGGUGGCUGCCAGGCCACAGGAAGCGGGGACACCCACCACAGUGACACCCCGAGCCCCCAGUCCCCUAAAGGUCCGUGCCCCCAGUCCCCUAAAGGUCUGUGCCGCCUCCUCGCACCGGGAUGCCCCGGGAGACUCACAGAGCCCACGGGAAGGGAGACAGGCAGCCCUUGGCCGGGGCCGACAGCCCUCACCUCGAAAUUCCUCCAGCCAAGCCCCGACACUGGACAGCAGCGUUAAACCCCCCAUCAAAGCCAGCCCGGCCUCCUCCCGGCCCCCCACCCCUCUGGCCCAUCCUGCAGAGGGGUGCAAGGUCUGCGCUGCCGAGGAGGGUCCCCAGGGGACACGGCAGUGCCCCCCAGCCCCGAGCCCGAGGGCUGCGGCUGCUGAGGGACCUCGGGCGCCAGCGGAUGAGGGCGGGGGAGCCUGCGGCCCUGGCAAUGGGGCUGCGGGGCUCCGGGGGUGCUGUGGGAACCCGCAGCCCCUCGGCUAUGACAGGGUGGUGGAGGAGCUCUGCCGCGGGUGGCAGCCCCUGCGCCCUGUGGGGAUGGGGAGCCAGGUCCCCAAAACACCCGCACGAGCUGCCCCAGACCCGGGGGAGGCAGAGGGGCCGGACGUGGGGGACCAGACCCCGCGGGGACCCAGGGCCAACAAUGUCACCAAGCCCCGACGGUGCCUGAAGAAGCCCGAGCGUGUGCCCUCCAUCUACAAGCUGAAGCUGCGGCCCAAGGUGCGUCCCCGGCGGGACCACAGGCCGGGCAAGCGCCCCUCGCGCAUCCCCACCCCGCUGGGGCAUAGCCCCCCUGUCCCCCGGGGCCAGCACCGGCCCCCGGGGCCACCCCGAGCCCCCCAGACCGGCAGCACACGUCCCACGGCCAAGCCCUCCCUGGGUGACAGCGGCGCCUGGCUGACGGAGGAUGAUGAGGAGUCGUGGGUCUGA
rnacentral:lncRNA from 1 species